rnacentral:rRNA from 1 species
CACGUAGGGCGCGAGCGUUGUCCGGAAUUAUUGGGCGUAAAGAGCUCGUAGGCGGUCUGUCACGUCUGCCGUGAAAACCCGAGGCUUAACCUCGUGGCUUGCGGUGGAUACGGGCAGACUAGAGGUAGGUAGGGGAGAACGGAAUUCCCGGUGUAGCGGUGAAAUGCGUAGAGAUCGGGAGGAACACCAGAGGCGAAGGCGGCGACCUGGACAAGUACUGACACUCAACUACGAAAGCGUGGGGAGCAAACAGG